rnacentral:rRNA from 1 species
AGGACGAACGCUGGCGGCGUGCUUAACACAUGCAAGUCGAGCGGAAAGGCCUCUUCGGGGGUACUCGAGCGGCGAACGGGUGAGUAACACGUGAGUAACCUGCCCUGGACUUUGGGAUAACCCUCGGAAACGGGGGCUAAUACCGGAUAUGACGUGCCGCCGCAUGGUGGUGGGUGGAAAGAUUUUUUUGGUCUGGGAUGGGCUCGCGGCCUAUCAGCUUGUUGGUGGGGUGAUGGCCUACCAAGGCGACGACGGGUAGCCGGCCUGAGAGGGCGACCGGCCACGACUGGAACUGAGACACGGUCCAGACACCUACGGGUGGCAGCAGUCGAGAAUUUUUCUCAAUGGGGGCAAACCCGUGAAGGAGCGACGCCGCGUAGAGGAUGAAGGCUUUCGGGUUGUAAACUCCUGUCAUUUGAGAACAAGUGUAGCCAAGUAACUACUGGCUACUUGAUAGUAUCAGAAGAGGAAGAGACGGCUAACUCGUGUGCCAGCAGCCGC